UAGGGAAUCUUCCACAAUGGGCGCAAGCCUGAUGGAGCAACACCGCGUGAGUGAAGAAGGGUUUCGGCUCGUAAAGCUCUGUUGUUAAAGAGAGCACGUAUGAGAGUAACUGUUCAUACGUUGACGGUAUUUAACCAGAAAGUCACGGCUAACUACGUGCCAC
rnacentral:rRNA from 1 species